rfam:Streptococcus pyogenes M1 GAS, complete genome.
UGAGUGUUAUGAUGAUGGAGUAAUCGAGAGAUUAUUCUUAGUCUAGCUCUGGUCUACCGCUAGGAUUUUUCCUAGCGG